AGAGAGAGACAUGCGCGCAUAUCAAUAAGCGGAGGAAAAGAAACUAACAAGGAUUCCCUUAGUAACGGCGAGUGAAGCGGGAAGAGCUCAAAUUUGAAAUCUUCAAGGUUUUACCUUGACGAAUUGUAGUUUAAAGAAGUGUUUUCUGCUGAAGUUUUGGUAAAAGUUCUUUGGAAUAGGACAUCAUAGAGGGUGAGAAUCCCGUAUUUGACCAUUAUUUUCAGCUUUGUGAUACACUUUAAAGAGUCGGAUUGUUUGGGAAUGCAGUCCAAAAUGGGUGGUAAAUUUCAUCUAAAGCUAAAUAUUGGCGAGAGACCGAUAGCGAACAAGUACCGUGAGGGAAAGAUGAAAAGAACUUUGAAAAGAGAGUUAAACAGUACGUGAAAUUGUCAAAAGGGAAGCGUUUGACACCAGUGUUGUUUUCUCGAAAAUCAAUUAAAAAUGGCUCGAUUUUGUAUUGUUGAGACCUUAAAAGCUCACUGUACAUUUUUCGUGUCUUCUUUAAUGCACUUUUCGUUUAACAAGUCAACAUCAGUUUCUUUUGUUGUAAAAGGGUCAUUGGAAGGUGGCUUUCUUUUCGGAGAAAGUGUUUAUAGCCUUUGGCCUCUGCAAUCGAAGAGACUGAGGUCUGCAGCGUAGACUCUUCGGGGUUAGAUACAUUUGUGCUAAGUUAUAGCUUUUUAUAGACAACUUGUUGACUAUAAUUAGUCUUGUAGCUUACUCGCUUAUGCUAUUUUACCUACGCUUAGGAUGUUGAAGUCAUCGUAUCGCGC
rnacentral:rRNA from 1 species